UUAAGCAUAUCAAUAAGCNGGAGGAAUU
rnacentral:rRNA from 1 species